AACCCAGUGCUUGCACUGGGGGUUGUAGGACUGCAAUGUGCAAGAGGUGAGUUUAGCAGAACAUUCUGGAAAGUAUAGCCAUAGAGGGUGAUAGUCCCGUAUGCGAAAAACAAACCUUAGCUAGCAGUAUCCUGAGUAGGGCGGGACACGAGAAAUCCUGUCUGAAGCUGGGUCGACCACGAUCCAACCCUAAAUACUAAUACCAGAUCGAUAGUGCACAAGUACCGUGAGGGAAAGGUGAAAAGAACUGAGGUGAUCAGAGUGAAAUAGAACCUGAAACCAUUUGCUUACAAUCAUUCAGAGCCCUAUGUAGCAAUACAGGGUGAUGGACUGCCUUUUGCAUAAUGAGCCUGCGAGUUGUGGUGUCUGGCAAGGUUAAGCAAACGCGAAGCCGUAGCGAAAGCGAGUCUGAAUAGGGCGCUUAGUCAGAUGCUGCAGACCCGAAACGAAGUGAUCUAUCCAUGAGCAAGUUGAAGCUAGUGUAAGAACUAGUGGAGGACUGAACCCAUAGGCGUUGAAAAGCCCCGGGAUGACUUGUGGAUAGGGGUGAAAGGCCAAUCAAACUUCGUGAUAGCUGGUUCUCUCCGAAAUAUAUUUAGGUAUAGCGUUGUGUCGUAAUAUAAGGGGGUAGAGCACUGAAUGGGCUAGGGCAUACACCAAUGUACCAAACCCUAUCAAACUCCGAAUACCUUAUAUGUAAUCACAGCAGUCAGGCGGCGAGUGAUAAAAUCCGUCGUCAAGAGGGAAACAACCCAGACUACCAGCUAAGGUCCCUAAAUCUUACUUAAGUGGAAAACGAUGUGAAGUUACUUAAACAACCAGGAGGUUGGCUUAGAAGCAGCCAUCCUUUAAAGAAAGCGUAAUAGCUCACUGGUCUAGUGAUUUUGCGCGGAAAAUAUAACGGGGCUAAAGU
rnacentral:rRNA from 1 species